CUAAUUUCUAGAGACUCAAGAAAGUAUCUAUUUUGCAGCCAAUCAAUAUGCUUAAAAAGUUUGUCGUACGACAAAUGUAAUAUCGGCCUUAGCCCUUAAUAAAGAUAAUAGCCAAAAAAGUUCGUUGCCGCCCGUGGGCGGGAACGAACGUGUUCAGACACGUUACGCGUGUGUCCUUUGGAUCAUAUUUUUGAGUUUUAUCUUCCCCUUCUAAAGAGGAAUCCUUUCUAAUUGUUCACUUAAUCCUUCUCACCUGGCCGUGUGGUGGGUAAUUAAUUUGUGCAUUUUAAUGUUUUUAUAUAAAUGUCUAGAAACUGCUCGAUUUCUGCUGUCAAUCUGCCGUCAGAUUGCGCGCAGGCUCUGCGUGAUUUCUGCUGCCAAUCUGCUCACAUUGCCUGUCAGCAGGCUCUGUCGACAAAACCUGAGCUUAAUGUGAUCACAAAUGACUAUGGUUUUGGCAUGAAAUUCUGAUUAAAUUUGCUGCCAAUCUGCGCGCAUGCUGCUAGCAUUUUGCUCUAACUAGCACGCACAGGAACACGCAGCACAUAAUAUUUCAAGUUGCAUAGCCAUUAUAAUUGCUAGCAAAAUGUCUCGUAUGCAAUCUAGUACGCAAAAUCGUACCGUAUGCCGCAGGCUUUAGUUUGCACGUUGAUAUUCUAAGAAGUUCCGACUGACAACGUGUCGGUUUCGGACGUGUUUUUGCGUGCUGCGUAUGUCCUUUGUCUGGACCUUUUUUUGGACUCCCUCCUCUCUUAAGAGGAAUUUUGCGUGUAUUUUACAAACCCAUAAGAAACAAUGGUGUAUGGGCGACUAAUGCCCAACCAGCCAUAAAAGAAAGAAGAAGAAGAUGUAUAUAAAACGCAAGUUCCGACUGACAACGUGUUGGGUUCGGACGUGUUUUUACGUUCUGCGUAUGUCCUUUGUCUGGACCUUUUUUUGGACUCCCUCCUCUUUAGAGGAAUUUUGCUUAUAUUUCACAAACCCAUAAGAAACAAUGGUGUAUGGGCGACUAAUGUCCAACCAGCCAUAAAAGAAAGAAGAAGAAGAAGAAGGUUGAUAUUCUAUUCUUCAAAUCCUACAAUUUUUGUUUCGUUUAUUAGAGAUUAAAAGUUAUUUACUAAAAAAUUCUUCCAUAACUCGUUCUAGGCAUUAUCCAGAAUCAACAAAGUCAAAUUGUGGCAAAUAUCUGAUUCUAUCUGUUAUAUCAUGGGUAGGAUAGGGAUAAAAACGUCGAAGUGUAUUACAAUUCUCCUAUAUUAUUACUUUGAAAAAAAAAAAUAAUAAUUUAAGUAAAAUAUACAUUUUUAUUUACGCAUUUA